rnacentral:rRNA from 1 species
UACGUAGGGCGCAAGCGUUGUCCGGAAUUAUUGGGCGUAAAGAGCUCGUAGGCGGCCAGAUAAGUCCGGUGUGAAAGUCACAGGCUCAACCUGUGAAUGCCGCUGGAAACUGUCUGGCUUGAGUCCGGAAGGGGCGAGUGGAAUUCCUGGUGUAGCGGUGAAAUGCGCAGAUAUCAGGAGGAACACCAAUGGCGAAGGCAGCUCGCUGGAACGGUACUGACGCUGAGGCGCGAAAGCGUGGGGAGCGAACAGG